CUGCAUGGCUGUCGUCAGCUCGUGCCGUGAGGUGUUGGGUUAAGUCCCGCACGAGCGCAACCCUAUUGCCAGUUGCUACCAGGUAAUGCUGGGCGACUCUGGUGAGACUGCCCCGGUUAACGGGGAGGGAAGGUGGGGACGACGUCAAGUCAUCAUGGCCCUUACGCCUAGGGCUACACACGUACUACAAUGGCGCAUACAAAGGGCAGCGAUACCGCGAGGUGGAGCCAAUCCCAAAAAGUGCGUCCCAGUCCGGAUUGCAGUCUGCAACUCGACUGCAUGAAGUUGGAAUCGCUAGUAAUUCGAGAUCAGCAUGCUCGGGUGAAUGCGUUCCCGGGCCUU
rnacentral:rRNA from 1 species